rnacentral:lncRNA from 1 species
UUUAAAUAUUUUGCAGGUGAGGAAUAAGUAGUUGAUAUAUGGAGUUGAUAAUAGAUGUAUUCAUCCAUUUUAUUAAAGUUGUUCAUGUUCUCUUGUUUGAAGAGAUUUUUGCCUCUUACUGGGCUUAUUAUGCUCACCCCUUUAAAUAUUUUGCAGGUGAGGAAUAAAUAGUUUGAAGUUGGUUUUUGCAAGGAUCUUUUAUUUACAUGUGAAAUAUGUGUGGUGUUGCUUUCCUUAGAAUAAGACGUAGACUUUAAUCUACCUUUGUAAUGUUACUUUUUGGAGUACCUUGUAAUAAAGAAUAGAUUUGUAAUAAAGAAUAUAUUUCAGUUUAUUGUUGAGUUGUUCUUUUCUAAUUUCUUUCAUAUUCUAAUUAUGAAAAUUUAUUUCAUAAUUGGAAUAUGAGUUACACCUCAAAAAAAAAUAUAUAUAUAUAUAUAUAUUUUCCAAAAAUUGGGGUGUGACAAGUUCUUAGGGUGAGGCUGGCGGCGUUGGAAACCUGAAAACAAGGACUAUAAGAUGGGUGUCGGGUCUGGCCAACGACUAAAGGUUUCUAGGGCGCACGGUAAGGGCUAGGGUUUUUCUUUUGGGUAUGAACUCAGGAUUUAAACAAAGGGUUUGAUAACUUGUUGUAAGAGAGAAUAUAACGAUCAAUAACUGAAUUUUUAUUCAUUAAUAAAAAUGCUUAUAUAAAGUCUUCCGAAUGAUCUAGAAUUUAUAUCAAAACUGUAAUAUAUUCUAAUAAGAAAAUGAUUAGGUCAAGACACAUAACAGAAGGACAGGAAAGUAAUUUACUUAAACAGUGUUUACUUUUCUAUUAAAAAAAAUUAAAUUAAAUUCAGUUUACCCCACUAUGGUUUAGAGGUGAAUUCAUGUUACUUCCUAAACUUUUAAUUUUAUCAUAUUACCCCUCGAGCUCUUGUUUUUCUGUCUGCCGUCUUCUAUCACUUAUGCUCCAUCCAAUUGAGACGUUAAAAUUUAAUGACGUGUGAUGACGUUUUAGGGUUAAGAAGCUAAAUUACCAGAAAAACAUGAACUUGGAGGGUAAUCUGAUGAAAUUGAAAAUUUAUGGACUAACAUAAACUCACCUCUAAACCACAAUGGGGUAAACUAAAAUUUAUUCAAUAAAAAAAAAAAUAGAGAGAGGGUCCACCUGUUUUGUAACGUAAGAUGAGACCCAUCUUACAGAUGUUUAAAUUAAAUUUCCAUUAUUAUCCAAAAAACAAAAGAAAAGGUAAAUCCAUCAAUACAUGUACAACACUAAUCAUACUAUGAACAUGAUUGAAUGUACGGAAUCUUUAUAGAUAAGUAGAAAGUAGUUGAACUAAAUAAUUGAAUAAAUAGACGGUUGUUACACUACUAAUCUCCAAAUCCCCAAAUGAAACCUCAUAAAGAGAUCUGCUUAGCAGACUUGUCUUCAAUUGAUUAUUGAAAUAAAGGCACGUAAUACACGUUAAGACAAAAUCAUAAUCACUCAAGCCCCAACUAAUGAAGUGUAUUGUUUACCUUUCGUAUGCUCCCUCUCCAUUCUCACGUUUUCCUCCUCUCUAUGGGACAAAAUCAUCUACAUUAUUCAUACAUUCACUU